CCAAGUCUGGAUGUGGCAAUUUGUAACAGAUUAAGUCUAGGCAAAGGUCACCCAUUAAACAAUUUCAGGACAAAAAAACCAAGUAGCAGUGUGGAGAGGGAGAGUCAGAGGCAGAUGGAUUUCUUGAAGUGGGAUAAUGAUGGAAAAAACAAGUUUAAGGAAGAAAGCCAACAUCUUAGGUGGAAUUGAAAAUAAUAAAAACAAACCUGCUACCCAGGAGCUUGUAGCUGUUGUAAAAUUUCCUUGCCAUUCUGUGGAAGAGACAUGAAUGUGCAUUUUGGGACUUACAGAUAGAUUAAGAAAUAUGGAAACUCUUUGUAGUCCUCACUCCUCUCUUUUUAGCUGGAAAAGCAGCAAAGGAUCUGUAAAGUGCGUAUUGCAGCAAAAGUCACACACAAUUUUAUACGAUUCAUCAAAACAUUCAACUAAAGCAGCUGUUAGGUGAAGGCUGGCUAGAAAUGCUUUGAACUUGGGUGAGAAGUGAUGAUAACUAUUAAUUAACAAACAGGAGUGGUUGUCUACCAUUGUCACUAAUAAAAUGAAAGGCAGACACUCUUUCAACAGUUACACAAAAUGCUCCACGAACGUUAUGCUGAUAUGGGUGCAUCCAAAAAAUCUUGGUUCUAAAGCGUCUCAGUCUGUAGACUUGUGCGAAGACAUUGCAGAUACUGACUUCUGGAAGUGGUAACAAGAGAAGUGGAAAAGGAGCAGGAAAACCCACAAAAUUAUUUGACCCCUUGCGUGUCCACAAAAAGAUGAGGAACGUGCUGACUAUUUUAGAGCACAGAGUAACCUUGGAUUUCAUAUGAUGAAAUUAUGAUUGUGACAGAAAAUAAGCUGUUGAAUCAUGUGUUCCUUUUUCAGAAAGAAAAAUUUAAUAUUUAAACACCAUUUUUUCACCCAUUUGUAUAGAAAAAUAAGUGAAGGAUUAAUUAAUUAAGAGACGAGAAUACAGUAUGCCUCCCUGAUUUGUUCCACAAUUAGUCUGCAUAAAGAAAUAUAAACCUAAGAACAAUUUUAUCUGCAUUUAAAUCUAAAGCCUAAUGUGAUGUAAAUCUCAGUGAAUGUGCUAGCACAAGGCUGACAAUGAAGAACACAGAACACAGUCUUUCAGAAAAUGGUUCUCUGUACUACAAAUUGGCUCAGACUAGAAAACUCUAAAAAAAAAUCUUACCACAGACACACAGAGGUUUCUCAGUGCAGAUUGCUCAAGAGUUUGGGCUGGAAGCCUGGAGUCAAAACUGAACAAAAGCCUGUCUGCUAAAGAAGAAUGCACUUCCAGCAACCCCUGUUCCACGAUGGAAAAGCUCUGCCAGCCACAUGAGGCACAGCGGGAAGAAGAAAAGAAUUCAAAAGGAAACUUGGCUUUGUACCUAUUGCAGCCUUAAUCGUCCUUUUUGAACAGAAUUCAGCUGUCAGCCAUGUGGAAGACAAACACUUGUGAGGAAGUACAGAAACAUCUGAUAUUAGGAGUGAUAUUACAACCAGCAUCUGCUGCUUGUCUCCCAUUCUGUUAGAAUAAAACAGUAAUGCAAGUCCUGUCAUAAAAACUAAUGCUUUAGGAUGAAUGAGGACAUCCACCAGGCAACUGAGACAAAUUUUUUUUUGAAAGAAAGAAGUAACCAGGAUGAUGUCAUGCUUUUAUGGAUUGACUGUUGUUGUUGCCAUUCUUUACUGUAUCUUGGACACAGGGAAAUAGUAACACUGGUGGACAGUAAAACCUACUCUCUUUCUUCCUCUUAAGGUUUCUAUUCCAGACUCAUAUUUUCUGUUUCCACUUCCUGUAAUUUCUAGGGUUAUCGUCUCAUCUGGCCCUUGUAAAAGUGAGUUGAGAAGCAAAACUUUGAAGCAAACCUCCUGACUUUUCCCACUUACCAUGCUGCAGAGAGGCCUUGAAGCAUAUUAUCUGGAUUACCUGCAGAAACGGUAAGCUCCCAGUAUAGGAAACUUCUUGCUGUGUCUUUGACUGGAACCGGAAUGAGAAAGCUCUGUUCACCUUCAACUUUCUAUGCACUCUAUUGGAAUGACACUAAAUGUGUUAUUACUGGCCAGCAUCCAGCAAAGAAGACACCCUCAACUUCAGAAGACCUUGAACCAUAGUGAAAAAUACAGCUGCAAGCCAACUAGUGUUCUUUGGGUGAUAUUACCUUUCUAUAAAAGAAUUCCACCCCCAUCAAGAAUUUUCCUGUAAACCAAUGGAUUGCCAUCCUAGACAUACAUUUCUCCUGAGAUCAAAUACUAUGUGCUUAUUAUCUCCAUACAAGAAAGAGUGUGCCUUGCUGUGCGAAGUUGCAGACUGUGGUGGCUCAGAAACACCUCCAACCUUCUUUGAGGCUCCAGCCUUUGAAAAGUGUGUGGUCAGCUGAAGGUAACAACUGCUGUGCCUGUACAUUUUAAACCACUGGUGAGUCUUGGUCCUGAUUGCUCCUCACUGAACUGUACAAAUGUCUUCACACAGUUAAUCCCAGUGAGCCUGCAGUCUAUUGCAAAGCCUGAGCUUUGAAAUCUCUUUGUCAUAUAGUAUCUCUGGCUCACAGCAGAGAUAGCAAAUCCAAGCUAAUGAUAACUGUGAAAAUGCAGUUUAUUUGCAAAUUGCUUGAGUUUUUUCAAAUGACAAUGUGAAUAUCCCCUACAGCUAGAGAGCAACAACUGUUUCAAAUAAAUGCCUUAUAAUUAAGGUAAACA